rnacentral:lncRNA from 1 species
CUUGAAGAGUUCAACCUGAAGAUGAAGCGGAAAUCGACGCAACAAACACCAACAUAAACUCAAAGGCAGUUUGUUAUCUUCACUUGGCAUCAUGAGCUCAUCUCCCACUAGAAUAGAACCUGCUGCUGACCCAUCCAGACCCUAUGGACAUUAGUUGGCUUACAUUGUUACCUAUCAUCCAUUUAUUGAUUUGUAAUGAUGCUAACAAAGGAUUUGUUAUCUUUGAGCCACAUCCUUUAAGGCAACAUAUUGAAGAAUCUUUUUCAUUGUAUAUUCAGAUUUGAUUUAUAUGUAUUAGCAUGGGUACGGUCAGGGGCUUUUCUUGAAAACGUGAUCUGACUUGCAAAAAUGAUUCCCUAUAUAGGCUUUUAGCUUUAAUUAGGGCCUGGAGAUUUUCCUAGGCUGGUCAUUUGGUCAGGAAAACCUCUUAACCCAUUUCUGUGGAUCCUCUUUCACUGUGUAUAUUUACAAAUAAAGAGUUAUUUUAUUUAUUUAUUUUUCUUAAAAAGUAACUUCAAAAUGGAAGUCAUGCUGAUGAUCUAAACUAUGCUCCACACUCCGUCCUGUUGGUGGCAGUAUUGGAAUUUGAAUCAUAACAGGGUGGGAAAAAAUCUUCAGAAGCAGGUACAGCAGAAAAAUAAAAUAGUCUUUGUCCUUGGCUAGCUAGGUCGUUGCUUUUGUACUAGCUAAUAUAUGCAUUUUUAUGCAAUUGCGUGGAACUUGUUUGACGCCUCAAAAUCUAAAAUGACAUGGCGAACAUAAUGAGAUGGUACCCUCUUUAAGGCCUAAGACGAGCGCGGGUGAGGUUGCAGACGAGUGAACCUGAAGAGUCAUCCCAGCUCAGACACGCUGGAAGAUAACAUGCCAAAUGGAACCAGAGAGUUACAGUCUGGUGCUGCCUCUGCUAUGAGCAACAUUAUGGAUCCAUCUGCCAGAGACUGGAGCAAAGGCUCAUUGAGGGGUAGCAGUGCUCCCUUCUCCCCAGACACAGAUGGGGACGUUGAUGGAGACCCUGUGCAGCCCAGUGUGGACCUGGAACUCGCUCGUAAGAAGAAGGAGCUGGAGGUCAUAGAGGAGAAGAUAGCUCGCAAGAAAGCUGUUCUUGCUACACGACAGCUUCAACACGGAGCUAAGAACAUGCCUAAAAAACAGACUGCAUCCACAACAGUGAAGGGCAUCGCUAAACAGACCAAGAUAAACAAUACAAUAUUCAAAACAUACAACCAGGUCACCGACAAGUCGUCACGCAUAUGCCUACCUCUUAAACGGAGGGUGCUGGACAUUCUACGUAAGUUCAGAAGAACACCGGUACGGCACCUACUUCGUAAGACGAAGAAACAAAACAAGAUGCGAGCAUUGGAGCUGAUGAUUAGCUCUCCCCUAGAAAAUGAAGAGGCCCAUCCUCUGAGACUGAGAGUGAAGGUUUUAAUGAACCAGCGACGCUCUCCCAACAAUGAGGUGGUUCCUGAUGAUAAACAGCAUGAUCCAACCAUUCAGAGGCCAGUUCACUCACUCAGGACACAGGAGAAAGACAUAGCAGCCACAGGCUUCCAGCGCUUCCUCAAUGUCCUCAAUGAAGGUGUGGACCUCAACAAGCUCUCAAAGAUAGUCAACGACGAAAAUGAGCUACUCAUUGUGGGCGAGGAGCUACCACAAGUUUCUCCGACUCUGCUCGAGGGUCAUGUUGACUCCAGCAGUAGAUCCAAUUCUUCUCCAGUUGAGGAGAAGAAGGUGAGGCUUGAGGAUGAGCAGCGGUACGAGCAGAUGCAGACCCUGCUGGAGAUCGUUGGGCUGGACUUGGGGGUUGAGGAGUUGGGUCGGCUGACAGACAGGACCAAUGAUAGGCUGUAUGGGAAGAUGGGAGACUUGAAAAGGAAGGAGUUCGAGAAUGAGAAGGGAAAAGAGAAAAAGGAGAGCGAGCCCUCAUUUAAACAUCUUAGUACUUCCUCAUUACCAUCAGACAGCGCCAGCCCCCUUCUAAACCAGCACUCAAACAUGACUGGUGAAUACAGCAGCUCUAGUAACAGGGUAUGGGACAUAGAGAGGGACAGAUCUGAGAGGGACUGGCACCGACACUCUGGUACCAGAGACAAGGACAGAGAGAGGGAGGAGGAUAUAGUCAGAGAAAUGGAGAGAUCUGAGAGAGAUGGGCACAGAGAGGACAGAGCCAGAGAAGGGGACAGUCCUACGAGAGAGAGAUCCAGGCAAAGAUGCUCUAGUACCAGAGACAAGGACAGAGUCAGAGAAAGAGACAGAUCUGAGAGAAACCGAAAGGGAGACGGGCACAGACACUCUAGUACCAGAGAGAGAGACAAGGACAUACCGGUAGUCAGAGAAACAAACAGAUCAGAAAGGAACAGAGAUGAAGACAGGGACAGAGACCCAAAGAAGGACUGGGACGGAGGCCAAGAGAGAGACCGGGACAGAUCUAGGAGAGACGGGGCCAGAUACAGAUCUGAGAGAGACGGGGACAGAGACCCAGAGAAAGGCAGGGACGGAAGCCGAGAGAAAGACCGGGACAGAGUGAGAGACCGGGACAAAUACAGAUCUGAGAGAGACAGAAACCGAGCGAUAGACAAGGAUAUAGAAAGGUGGCUGCAAAGGACCAAAGACGGAGACAAACGUUCUAGGACCAGUGACUGGGACAGCGAGAGCGACUGGAACAGCCACUGUAGUACUAGAGACUGGGACAGAGAGAGAUCUGAGAGGGAUAGGUAUGGGGAUGAGUCCAGGGAAAGCUCCAUUGAGCUCUACUCAUACUCCAUGGACCCUAUAUUCCCUGUUUCUCAUCCUCAUGCAUUUAUGAUGGCAAACUACUCCCCCACCCAGUACUCUCAGUAUAUGGCGUACCACAGCAGCCCCUACACCAUGGCCUUCCCUCCAGGGUGGGGUUAUCCCCCUGGCACCAUGCCCCCUGGUAUUAUGCCCCCUGGUAUUAUGCCCCCUGGUAUUAUGCCCCCUGGUAUUAUGCCCCCUGGGAUUAUGCCCCCUGGUAACAUGCCCCCUGGUAACAUGCCGCCUGGUAACAUGCCGCCUGGUAACAUGCCGCCUGGUAACAUGCCGCCUGGUAACAUGCCGCCUGGUACCAUGCUUCCUGGUGUUAUGCUCCCUGUUACCAUGCCACCUGGAAUCAUGCCAGCUGGUGCCAUGCUGCCUAUUAACAAGCCCCGCCUACCUAAUCCCCCUGGGUAUCCACCCUACACCAACUUCCCCCCAUAUUACUCUAAUGGCACCACAGCCUUAAACCAGACAUACACCAAGCCUGCUAGCAACCUCCAGCUCUCAUCUACCCAGCCUGCUAGCAACCUCCAGCUCUCAUCUACCCAGCCUGCUAGCAACCUCCAGCUCUCAUCUACCCAACCUACUAGCAACCUCCAGCUCACAUCUACCCAGCCUGCUACUAGCAACCUCCAGCUCACAUCUACCCAGCCUGCCAGCACUGCAGCAGUCUUGCCCCUCCAACGUAACCCUCCCAUUUGUCACAAGAAACUAGCUCCCUGGUAUAAAGAAAAUAACAAAGCCCUGAAGCAAGUUUGCCGACAAAUGGAACGGAAAUGGCGCUCCACCAAUUUGGAAGUCUUCCGACUAGCUUGGAAAGACAGUAAAGCGCAAUAUCGAAAAGCCCUCAAUGCCGCUCGAUUAGCCUACUUUUCCAAACAGGAGGAGAAUAAAAACGAUCCAAAAUGUAUUUUUGAUACUGUUGACAAGCUAACUAAAAAGCAGCAUUCUCCUAGUGAGGAUGGCCUUCACUUCACCUAAGCAGUUACAUCCUGCCUGGUUGGCCCUGUCUGGGGGUAUCUUCGGACUGGGCCACAUUGUCUAAGCACUGGGUUCUGUCUAAGCCCUUUGUGACAUUUACUGAUGAAAAAGGGCUUUAUAAAUAAAUAAAUGUGAUUGGUUGGUCUUAACUCAGAGAUACACAUACACCCAGCCCUCUAGCAACUGCAAGGAAAAGAGACAGAAGCAUGCAGAAGCCGUAGCGAAAGUGAAAAGAAUAAACAUGGAAGAGACAGAAAUAUGCAGAAGAUGUAGUGAAAGUAUCCUGUCAGAUGGUGACAAAGACGUCCCCCUCUGAACCAGGGUGAAUGAAGAAAGCAAAGGGGGUAAACAAUAGAUUCUUCACAGGUAUUUUCAUGAAGAGUUAUCAUAAUCAUCAAAGGAAGCAUAUGUGUAAGAGGAAACGGCUUUUGAAGAGGCGGAAUGAGGCUCACCAGCACAAAAUAAAGUGAUUGCUUGCAGAAGCAGCAGGGAAAGUGGCUCCUCGGGUGUCUGUAAAGGAUUUCCCCUUUGGAGAUGAGCCCAAGAUCCAGAAGGAGUAACAAUGAUCGAUGGGGAGAAACUACAUGCUGACACUGUAGAAGAAGUGGUCCCUAAAAGAAGCUAGAUUUGUAAUGACACUAGCAAAGGAUUUGUUAUAGUUUAACCUCAUCCUUCAAAGCUUCAUGUUGAAGCUAUUUCCAGUGUAAUGUUUUGUAUUGUAUGUGGUAUGGGUAUGGCCAGUGGUCUUUCUUGACUAUUAUAUCUGCUCAGCAAACGCAUUUUCUCUCCCGUUAUAAACCAAAUCAUAAGGGCGUGGAGUUUACUUGAUCUGGUCAUGUGGUUAGGAAAGACCCCUGGCCCUGGGCAUAGUACAUGUGUGUCAAUACAAUGAAAAGACCAUUGAUGACAUGCUUGCAAGUUCUCAUGCCUGAUAGCAAGAAAACUGCCCGUGUUUCAUUCCCCCACUUCAGUCUAUAGAUCAUCUUUUACUUUGUAUAUAUUUAAUUGAAUAAAAGAUUCUGUCUAAUAUUGUAAGUGUGGAGUAUGUCAAAGUAAUUUAACCAAGGCAUUAAGCUUCACAUUUCUUUUCAGGAAUAACUUAAAUUGGUUUGGAAUUAGAAAAUGCCAUGCUCUUCGCACUCCGUUCUAUUGGUGGCAGUAUAGAUCCUAUGAAGCAGAAAUCAUAGACGAUGUAGACAGGAAACGAGUUUGUUGGUUGACCAGUUGCCUUUAUAACAAAUUUAACCUAAUCUAUACCAUUUAUAUGAAAGUCAAAGCACUCCGAUUUUUAAGAGAGACUGGUAUGCUAGUUGUUUGACACCACAAGAUCCAGAAUGAGACAGUGAACACAAAGACCUGCGCGAGGGUAGCAUCGAGGUAAACAACCAUUAGCUAUAGUCAAUGUUUGCAACCACUUAUUGUGGAAAAUGUGCAAUGUGGCAAUUUCAUGAAUUUGUCGAUAUUCUCACAUGCUUGCAUUUACAGACGUUAGCUAGCAAGGUAUAUGCCAGCCUGCUCUGAAAGUUAAAUUACAAACUAGCUAGGUAGUUAACAUUUGCUAACGUUAGCUGGCGAACGCUUGCACAUUUCAGCUGACAUUCAGAACAAUAACGUACAAGCAAGCGAAGUUAUUAUAGAAGACAAAUGCAACUACAUACAGUUGAAGUCGGAAGUUAACAUUCGCCUUAGCCAAAUACAUUUAAACUGUGUUUUUCUCAAUUCCUGACAUUUAAGCCUCAUUUAAAAAAAAUCCCAGUUUUAGGCCAGUUAGGAUCACCACUAUUUUAAGAAUGUGAAAUGUCAGAAUAAUAGUAGCGAGAAUGAUUUAUUUCAGCUUUUAUUUAUUUCAUCACAUUCCCAGUGGGUCAGAAGUUUACAUAUUACAAUUAGCAUUUGGUAGCAUUGCCUUUAAAUUGUUUAACUUGGGUCAAAUGUUUCAGGUAGCCUUCCACAAGCUUCCCCCAAUAAGUUGGGUGAAUUUUAGCCCAUUCCUCUUGACAGCGCUGGUGUAACUGAGUCAGGUUUGUAAGCCUCCUUGCUCGUACACGCUUUUUCAGUUCUGCCCACAAAUGGUCUAUAGGACUGAGAUCAGAGCUUUGUGAUGGCCACUCCAAUACCUUGACUUUGUUGUCCUUAAGCUAUUUUGCCACAACUUUGGAAGUAUGCUUGGGGUCAUUGUCCAUUUGGAAAACCUAUUUGCGACCAAGCUUUAACUUCCUGACUGAUGUCUGGAGAUGGUGCUUCAAUAUAUCCACAUCAUUUUCUUCCUCGUGAUGCAAUCUACUUUGUGAAGUGUACCACGCCCUCUUGCAGCAAAGCAACCUCACAACAUGAUGCUGCCACCCCCGUGCUUCACAGUUGGGAUGAUGUUCUUUGGCUUGCAAGCCUCCCCCUUUUUCCUCCAAACAGAAUGAUGGUGAUUAUGGCCAAACAGUUCUAUUUUUGUUUCAUCAGACCAGAGGACAUUUCUCCAAAAAGUACUUUCUUUGUCCCCAUGUGCAGUUGCAAACCGUAGUCUGGCGGUUUUGUAGCAGUGGCUUCUUCCUUGCUGAGCGGCCUUUCAGGUUAUGUCGAUAUAGGACUUGUUUUACUGUGGAUAUAGAUACUUUUGUACCUGUUUUCUCCAGCACCUUCACACGGUCCUUUGCUGCUGUUCUGGGAUUGAUUUGCACUUUUCGCACCAAAGUACGUUCAUCUCUAGGAGACAGGACGUGUCUCAUUCCUGAGCAGUAUGACGGCUGCGUGGUCCCUUGGUGUUUAUACUUGCGUACUAUUGUUUGUACAGAUGAACAUGGUGCUUUCAGGCGUUUGGAAAUUGCUCCCAAGGAUGAACCAGACUUGUGGAGGCCUACAAUUUUCUUUUCUGAGGUCUUGGCUGAUUUCUUUUGAUUUUCCCAUGAUGUCAAGCAAAGAGGCACUGAGUUUGAAGGUAGGCCUUGAAAUACAUCCACAGGUACACCUCUAAUUGACUCAAAUGAUGUCAAUUACCCUAUCAGAAGCUUCUAAAGCCAUUACAUCAUUUUCUGGAAUUUUCCAAGCUUUUUAAAGGCACAGUCAAUUUAGUGUAUGUAAACUUCUGACCCACUGGAAUUGUGAUACAGUGAAAUAAUCUGUCUGUAAACAAUUGUUGGAAAAAUUACUUGUCAUGCACAAAGUCGAUGUCCUAACAGACGUGCCAAAACUAUAGUUUAUUAACAAGAAAUUUGUGGAGUGGAUAAAAAACGAGUUUUAUGACUCCAACCUAAGUGUAAGUAAAUUUCCGACUUCAACUGUAUAUAUUGGAAUGUAACUUGUUUGUUUAGAAGCUUGUUAAUUCGUUUGAGUCCUUAGUGAUGUCUUGCCUUAAACGUGCAUUUAUGGGCAAAUAACAUCUAAUACAUCCAUAAUCAACAGCAAACAUGUUUAUAUUCAUCACAUACUUAACGUUAGUGUUUAUAUAGUUGUCACCCAGACACACAGUACAGUUCACCACCUCUUUAUUCUCUGCAGUGAACCUGGAGUAUCAGCCC